rnacentral:lncRNA from 1 species
AGUUAGUUUUUAGAGGUCCAAGGGAAAUCAGGCAGUGUCUCAUCUGUUGUUAAUUAAUGAAACGAAACUGGAGUCACUAGAGUGCAGCAGUGAAUGAAAGGUGGGUUUGCUGAGUUCUCUCGUUGUUUCCCUGGCCUCUGUGAAGGAAAAUCCACUCUAGUCCCUACCUGCAUUUCUCAGCCUUGCUUACCUGUUGCCAACAUUGGGCCAACCCGAAUUCUUCCCAAUCUUUAUCUUGGCUGCCAGCGAGAUGUCCUCAACAAGGAGCUGAUGCAGCAGAAUGGGAUUGGUUAUGUGUUAAAUGCCAGCAAUACCUGUCCAAAGCCUGACUUUAUCCCCGAGUCUCAUUUCCUGCGUGUGCCUGUGAAUGACAGCUUUUGUGAGAAAAUUUUGCCGUGGUUGGACAAAUCAGUAGAUUUCAUUGAUUUGUGAAAGAAAAAAGACCUACUAUAUCUCCAAACUUCAAUUUUCUGGGCCAACUCCUGGACUAUGAGAAGAAGAUUAAGAACCAGACUGGAGCAUCAGGGCCAAAGAGCAAACUCAAGCUGCUGCAC